AUGCGUGUGCAAAGUUUCGUGACUUUUCGAGCAUGUUUAGGCCCUCAAAAUUGCGAUUCAUUUUGGAGAAGAAGAAUAAUAAUAAUAAUAAAUAUAGCUGCAAGCAGCGAUGGCGGGCCCGAGCCGGAAGCAAUUCCAAUAGGGUCCUCACACCAUCGGUGCUCGGGCCCUAAUAAUAACAAUAAAUGUUUUUUUGUAGAAAAUAAGAUUGUUAAAAGGAUUUCUGAAGGAUUGUGUGACUGGAGUAAUGAUGCAAAAAAUUCUGUUUGAAAGUCAGCUUUGAUUUUUCCUAAUAAACUGUUUAACUGCACUCACAAGUGAAUAUUAAAUUAUGUUGUGGGAUAAUUAAAUAUAUUCUAAAUAAACUACAAACAUAAAAUUAUAUAGAUUUAUUUUGUCCUCACAUUCUUUCUUGUAACUCAUCCCUCUCAGUGACACAGCUGACUGAAUGGCUCAUUAUGCAGCUCAUUAUGCAGGUCUUUGUCUUCUCAGGUGUGAAUUCAUGAUAGUUGACGCCUACUCGCAUAUGACUUUUACCAACAAAAAGUCUCUUAGAAAAUUUAAAUCAAUAUUUUGUUUUCUGUAAGUGAGUAAACAAGAUGAUUUUCACAUCAUUUAGAAAAAAAAAUUCUAGGCUACAAGCUCCAGUUCUCAAAAGUCCCGGGAGCCAAUGUUCUGUAUGUGUUUUAUUGCCUUUUUCAAGUGAUUUAACAUUUUUAGUUUUUCACUAACCACGCAUAACAUUUUUUUUCUCAAAAACACAAUCAUGUACAUACAUGCUGCUCACAUAUUAUUAUAGCCUAGUUUGUGCUGAUUACAGUGAGAUUAGACUUUAGCCAUUUAGAUAUUUAUAAGAAACUGAAAAAAGCACAAAUGUCAGGGCAUGACAAAACUUCUCCAGGCCCCAAAAAUACCCUUAGACUCCAGAGGGUUAAUGAUGAACGAAUCAUUUACAAAACAUGAUUAUAUGUUCAUAAAUGAUUAAUGAGUGGUAUGCUAACGAUUUACAAAUGUGUUGUAAGUUAUCUUAAAAAAAGUUCAUAUCAUGAAAUAAAUCAAACUGAUCAUUAGAUGGUUUAUAAGUUAUUAGUUGAUACAAUAUUUAUCACUUAUAAAUCAUUGAAGUAUUUCUGUCAAAAUUGUUUUGUAUAAUUAUCUCAAUAAACAAUUGUUAAUCAUGAACAAAUGAUGAAUAAACCAUUAGUAAAUGAUCAGUAUAUGAUUUAUUGAUGAAGUUGUAAGCUGGUCUGUGUUCAUAAGCACAAACAUGCAGGUAUGCUAAAGCACUAUUUUUAAGAAGAGUAAUUCAUUUGGUUUGAAGUGGAUAAACAUUUAUAGAUGCCUUAGUCAGGUGAUUCCAGUGGCUUGUGUUAAAUCCUUUCACUCAUCAGCACAGACUUGUGUUCUGUGUGGAGUGUGUGGAUCUAGUGAUGAAGUGAACCCCUUCCACUGAAGCUCACAUCAGGUGCACAGAGUUAAAGACUCCAUGUGUGUCAGAGAAGACCCUCACCAGUCAGCACUUAGUACACACUACAAAGUGUUCAACACCUGUUAUAGAUGAUGUGUAAACACAUGAAUAAAUCAUUUACAAAGCUUUCUGCAUCCCCUAAUCUAAAGUGUAAACUUCUCAUCACUUGUAAAUGUGUUACAUAUAAUUGUAGACCUUUCUUACCUGUUACAAAUUAUUUGUAUAUGUACACAAGUCAUUUAUAACACUUUCUGCAUCCCCUAAAGUGAAAACUAUUCAUCACUUCUAAAUCUGUCAUGUUCUUAAUUAAUUAAUUUAUUUUUUAAAAUGAUACACUUUUUGCUCGUCCUAUCUAGCUCUGCGAUGCACAUGCAUACUCUGUGUACAACGGUUCAAGACAGGGUAUGUCUAAAAACUCCCAACACUUUUCUGCUCCAACUUCAAAAUAGUCCUACAUUGUUGUUUAAUUAUAAAAAAUUGUUAUUUUCUUUGGAAAAAGUGUUUGAGCAUCCUUGCACGUUCACUUUGUAAACACUGGGUCGGUGCUUCUGCAGCGAUGCAGGAUGAUUUUGAAGUUGGAGGAGAAAAUUAGUUUUUUAUUUUCUGGCUCAGCUGGUGCUUUGGGUGUCGAAAGACAAAGAACCCGUUUGAAACUAGGCUCUGGCUCCGAACCAGCACUCGAACUGCCUUGGUGGAAAAGGGGUAAUAGAGAUUGCAUUGCAGUGCCUGUAGUUAAAAAAAAUUAUCUUUGUGUGGAAGUCUAUGAGAGCACUCGGGGUGAUUCUCAUUCUGACAGAAAUCGCCCAAAAAGGGGCGGUAAUACACAAAAAUGACUCGAUGCUGAUUGGACUAUUUAGAGGCAGAACAAACAGUUUAGAAUAUUGAAUGCUAGCGUAACACUGUGGUUGAAAGAAAAAACGCUUUGGUGGUGCGUCGCCCAAUAGCCCUAAUGGAGAAAGCGCCCAUUGAAAGGUACUUUCACUGCAUUGCCUUGCAUCUCCAAAUAAUUAUUUAAGAUUAAUACUAAAUGUAGUAAAUUCAUUUACACAAGGGUUAUGUUUAUAUUUAAAUAAUUCCACAGUUCCCACUGCAUUUUUGUUUUCUUUUGUCUUCUAGAGAAGAUAUCAACAUAUAUUUUCUCCUCUAUUAACAUGAUUUAUGUAUGGAAGCAGAACUGUAAUGAUCCGUGAUUUUUUGUACAACGAAGCAUUAGAAAUAUUUUUAAGGAUUUGGCUACAAUGAAAUGUUUCAUGUCAUUUGUCUUUAUUGUGUUACAUAGACAUUAAUCAUAUGACCAGACUGCAAGAUCUGUAUAUAGCAUGAUAAAAAUGCAAAGCGAUAUUGAAAGAGACGGCCAUAAAUUGAUCUAAAUGAUAUUCCUAACAUCAACUUAUUAAAGAACACGUAUAUGUGGAACUGUAGUUUUACAUGUUCAAAGGCAGUUUACUAGAUAUUACAAAGCAUUACGAAAAUGCCAAGAGAAGCUGUAUGCAUUGAUUUGUGUAAGGAGCAUUCAGGAAGCAUCAGAUCUGGGUGUCACUCAGUGCUGGCGGGUCUAGAUUGAUUUUCUUCAGCUUCUCCGUGAUAGACAAGUACUGCUGGUUCCUCUCCUCCUCAGAGAGCGAAGACGGAUUGAUCUCCAGGAAUUUAUAUGCAUGUCUAGACUGAACACUGAAGACGCCUUGAGCUCUCUGACAGCACACACCAAAUUUCUUCCAGUACUGAAAGAUAAAAGACAUGCCACCAUUAAUCACAUUUACUAAAAUAUAUUUUAUUAAAUAUAUCAUAAUUGACACAAUUGACAUUAUCAUACAUAAUAGAACUAGUUUCAAC
ensembl:lncRNA